rnacentral:rRNA from 1 species
CAGUCGCCGCGGGAAAACGAAGGGUGCAAGCGUUACUCGGAAUUACUGGGCGUAAAGCGUGCGUAGGUGGUGGUUUAAGUCCGUUGUGAAAGCCCUGGGCUCAACCUGGGAAUUGCAGUGGAUACUGGGUCACUAGAGUGUGGUAGAGGAUAGCGGAAUUUCCGGUGUAGCAGUGAAAUGCGUAGAGAUCGGAAGGAACAUCUGUGGCGAAGGCGACUAUCUGGGCCAACACUGACACUGAGGCACGAAAGCGUGGGGAGCAAACAGGAUUAGAUACCCCCGUAGUCCCUGUCUCUUAUAC